rfam:Bifidobacterium pseudocatenulatum contig_00024_121455, whole genome shotgun sequence.
GGGCGAUUAGCUCAGUUGGUUAGAGCGCCACCUUUACACGGUGGAUGUCGGGGGUUCGAGUCCCUCAUCGCCCA